rnacentral:rRNA from 1 species
UACGGAGGGGGCGAGCGUUAUUCGGAAUUAUUGGGCGUAAAGGGCGCGUAGGCGGCUGAACAAGUCAAAGGUGAAAUCCCUCGGCUCAACUGAGGAACUGCCUUUGAAACUGUUCGGCUUGAGGCCGGGAGGGGGUAGCGGAAUUCCCAGUGUAGCGGUGAAAUGCGUAGAUAUCUGGAGGAACACCGGUGGCGAAGGCGGCAUCCUGGACCAAUUCUGACGCUGAGGAGCGAAAGCCAGGGGAGCAAACGGG